CCUACGGGACGCUGCAGUGAGGAAUAUUUGUCAAUCGACUGUAGUCUGAACCAGCCAUGCCGCGUGCAGGCAGACGGCUCUAUGAGUUGUAAACUGCUUUUGUACAAGGGUAAACCUGAAUACGUGUAUUCAGCUGAAAGUACUGUACGAAUAAGGAUCGGCUAACUCCGUGCCCGCAGCCGCGGUAAUACGGAGGAUCCAAGCGUUAUCCGGAUUUAUUGGGUUUAAAGGGUGCGUAGGCGGAUUGAUAAGUUAGAGGUGAAAUGUCCGAGCUUAACUCGGGAACUGCCUCUAAUACGGUUGAUCUAGAGAGUAGAUGCGGUAGGCGGAAUGUAUGGUGUAGCGGUGAAAUGCUUAGAGAUCAUACAGAACACCGAUUGCGAAGGCAGCUUACCAAUCUAUAUCUGACGUUGAGGCACGAAAGCGUGGGGAGCAAACAGGAUUAGAUACCCGGGUAGUC
rnacentral:rRNA from 1 species